rnacentral:rRNA from 1 species
AACGAACGCUGGCGGCAUGCCUAACACAUGCAAGUCGAACGAGACCUUCGGGUCUAGUGGCGCACGGGUGCGUAACGCGUGGGAACUUGCCCUUAGGUUCGGAAUAACUCCCCGAAAGGGGUGCUAAUACCGGAUAUUGUCUUCGGACCAAAGAUUUAUCGCCUUUGGAUGGGCCCGCGUUGGAUUACCUAGUUGGUAGGGUAAAAGCCUACCAAGACGACGAUCCAUAGCUGGUCUGAGAGGAUGAUCAGCCACACUGGGACUGAGACACGGCCCAGACUCCUACGGGAGGCAGCAGUGGGGAAUAUUGGACAAUGGGCGAAAGCCUGAUCCAGCAAUGCCGCGUGAGUGAUGAAGGCCUUAGGGUUGUAAAGCUCUUUUACCCGGGAUGAUAAUGACAGUACCGGGAGAAUAAGCGCCGGCUAACUCCGUG